rnacentral:rRNA from 1 species
UUGAUGGUGCUUGCACCUGAUGACGAUGGAAUACAAGCGAGCGGCGGACGGGUGAGUAACACGUGGGGUAACCUGACCCAAGAGACGUGGGAUAACACCUGGAAACAGAUGCUAAUACUGGAUAACAACACUAGACGCAUGUCUAGAGUUUGAAAGAUGGUUCUGCUAUCACUCUUGGAUGGACCUGCGGUGCAUUAGCUAGUUGGUAAGGUAACGGCUUACCAAGGCAAUGAUGCAUAGCCGAGUUGAGAGACUGAUCGGCCACAUUGGGACUGAGACACGGCCCAAACUCCUACGGGAGGCAGCAGUAGGGAAUCUUCCACAAUGGACGAAAGUCUGAUGGAGCAACGCCGCGUGAGUGAAGAAGGGUUUCGGCUCGUAAAGCUCUGUUGGUAGUGAAGAAAGAUAGAGGUAGUAACUGGCCUUUAUUUGACGGUAAUUACUUAGAAAGUCACGGCUAACUACGUGCC